rnacentral:misc_RNA from 1 species
CUANAAACCCCACAUAAAUAUUUCAUUGCAAAAAUGUUGAAUUUUACCCUGAGCAAGCAGCAACAUGGUGUUGAAAAGAAUGUUAAUAUGAGACCGUUUCCAGCGUUGACGGUCAUAAAUUUUGAUCGCAUGAGAGAGACGGUUCGUGAUUGUAUAAAACGAUCACUACAGAGGACUUCUCUUCGAAGGGCCCCGGCUGCAUUGCGCGAGAGUGGAAACGAUGUGGACAACGAGAAGACAGAUGAGUCUCUUCGUUUGUGUGAAGGAAAACUGUGUAGCUCCAGUGUUCAAUGUAUAAAGAAAUCUACUGCAGUGAAGAUUUGUCAUCAUGAAGUAUGCCAAGACUAUAACCACGGCAUUCCACUGGCACUNUGCCUGAAAUGCGAUGAAGUCCACCAUUUAGGCGUCAACGCAAAACAUGCAAGAUUUGAGAUCAAUAAACCUCGAAUGAAACUGACAAGGAGCAACUCAACUCAUUCCAAUCAGUCUGAUCAUGACUCUGGCGCAGAAGAAGACAUCACCGACGGACCAGUCAAAGUGGAAAAGAAAACCAGAGGUUAUUCUACAGGAAAGAGAAUAUUCAAACUGACAGCAAAUACAAAACGGAAACCAAGGAGACAUAAUACAGAUGAUCCUGGUAGAGAUUUCUUUACUGUUAAGUUUCAUGGUGAAAAUGAUGACGACAUCAACAUAGAAAUAGUUCCUGCAUUAAAAGGGAAAUCCUUGAAGGAUUCAUUAGAACCUUUGUUCUCAGAGAGAGAUAUAAGUUUUCUAAGUCAUUCAGUAUUCCUUGAUGCUUCUAANACUCCAUUACCGCUUGCAUUUGAUACUUUCCCAAUGGGUGGAAACACACUACAUGUUAGAGCCAAUGGUGUUGUAAAGGUAGACCAAAGGGUCAUUGAAAUGGUGAAUAGCGUAGAAGACUGUAAACCCCAAGAUGAAUACAUCCAGAAACCAAGAAGCAAGUCUGUCAUGGAUAACUCCUCCCUUAGUCGUGCAAAAGGAAACAUGAAGAAGCUGGAACAAGAUGAAAGAGAUCGACAAACAGAUGAACUCCUGAAGAUGAGCCAAAGAGGUAAGAAGAACAUAAUGAGUUUCUUUGGUGAAGACAGUCCUAAUGCAACCUUCACAGGAUCCAAUCCAGCAAUCCAAUCAGGAACACAAUCUGGUACUGGAACUCUUCAUAGACCCAAAUCAACUAGUAAGCUCACAGGGCUGUUCAUAAACCAGCCCAAACCAUCAAAGCAAGAGAUUUCUAAUAGAGGAUCAACACUUAGAGAUUUCUUGGCAUUGUACACUGUGUAUGGACUUCCAGACCUUAACCAAGUAGACACAAGUAUUAAAGAUGAACCUCAUGAAGAGGAACUUAAACUGGAGGAGUCUUGGAUGGAUGUUGUGGACCAACAAUAUAUUGAUCAAAUGUCCAAAAAAGAGAAAGACCAACAAGAAGCAAUCUGGGAAUUAUUGACAACUGAAGUUGCUUACAUACAGAAACUUAGUAUUGUUAAAAAGUUAUUUAUCCUUUGCUUGAGAAAUCUAAAAAACGAAGGUUUCUUGCAAGAUACUGAAAUACCCAAGUUGUUUAGUAAUAUAGAAGAUAUUUAUGAGUUGAACUUGUCCUUUUGGUUGGAUUGUCUUAGUGAUGUAGUGAAACAGUCAAGGAAAACAGGAAAUCCAUUGGACCCUAUGGACAUGAGUGAAAGCUUCCCAAUGUUUGAUAAAAGAUUUGAGCCAUAUAUUACAUACUGUACAGAGGAAUCAUACUGUCUGAAAUACUUCAAAAGAAACUUUGCNGAAGAUGAAGACUUCAAGACCUAUAUCACUUGGUGUGAAGAACAUCGCCUGUGCACAAACAGACUNAAGCUAUCAGAUUAUCUUGUGAAACCAAUGCAACGAUUGACCAAAUACCCUUUAUUACUGAAAGCCAUACAGAAAAAGACUCUAUCAGAACAGCCAAAGAAAAGCGUUGAGGGAAUGAUUAGCACAGUAGAGUCACUGCUAAGCAAGGUCAAUGCAGCCAUGAGAGUUUUGUACGAGAAGAACAAACUGAUGUCAAUAUCGAAACGAAUAACAAACAACUACAACGUUGUAGAGGCUGUUAACGAUGAAAUGGAGCGACUGUUAACCAACUACAGCUCUUUUGAUUUGAUGGAGCUCAUGCCUGGCUUGGACCAGCAUCGUUGUGUUAUUAACGAAGGUCCUUUGAGGCUUGUAGAAAAACAGGGCAAGAUGGAUGUUCACGUCUUCCUCUUUACAGAUCUUCUCCUCUUGACAAAAGCAAAGAAGGGCGACAAAUAUAGAGUCUUGAAACCGCCACUAAAAGUGGACAAACUCUACGUACAUCCAUCCAAAGACCAAGGGAUGUUUCUGUUGAUUUAUGUUAACGAAUACAACACAGCAGUUCAAGCUUUUGCAUUACAAGGGACAACUACUGAAAAUGCUAAUUAUUGGAUGGAAGCUAUUCGAAAAGCACAGAAACUAUUAAUGGUGGCNCAACUCGGACAAGGUGGAGGUCACAUGGGACGAGUCGAGAGCGAUUCUAGUGAAGCUCUCAUUAGUCCGUCUGCUCACAUUUCAAAUGUUGCAUCAAAACGAAGACCCUCUACUGUGUCAAUUGAAUCUUUCGAUUCUGAUGAUGAAAUGGGUUUGAAUGAACCAUAUCAGGCUCCGAAUUUGGCAAGGUUUUCAUCGGAUCAAGCUCUUAAUAUUGGUGCAGAUAAUGAAGAUGAAAAGGACAUUGAUACUGCCAAGGAGGAAAAUAUCACAGUUUUACAGAANGAGAAUUGUACUAACCAAGAAUCAUUCAGUGAUCUAUCAAGUGCCCAAGGACAAACACCAAUCGAUACAACUUCGGAAGAAAAUUUUCAAAAAAUACCUCCAGUCCAUCCGGAACUUCACCGUCUGCGCAGUGAAUCUUCAGCAAAAGUUUCGCGAUCUUCNUCAGCGCCNCAAAAAGAUCGGCCAAAAGUCGAGGCAGUGUCGUUGUCUCGAUCAUGUUCCGAACCAACUGAACCAAAGAGAUUUUUACGGAAAACUUCGAAGGGAGAAAUAAUUACCGANGGACUUCCGCUAGCGAAGGAUUACCGAACNUCUCUUACAUCAUCUUCGUUUUCGGAGUCGGAAGUAAGCUCAACGCCUUCGCUUCAGAAUUCUUUAGAACUGAGUGCGUCUCUUUCUUUAGAUGACAAUGCAUUUGAUUCCGCGGCAUCUCCCAAACUAUCCGAAUCGUUUGCUAGUGCAGCUAGUGACUAUAAUGAUGUUUGNUCUCCGAUAUCGGACGUACCAUCGUCAUUUGAGGCAAAACUAGAUGAUUACCAUGACGANGAUGGGAACGCACACUCCGGUCGACCUGUUACGCGCUCAUCCUCUGCGCCAGUCCCCUUAAAGGAACUCAGGCCCCACUCUGUGAGUAGUGNCCCUGAUGCGGAUGAAGGACCUGGUGUUGAAGAUGAUAAAGCUGCUACAUAUCCUCGUCGUGGGAAUCGAAGUCGAGCAAGUCCAGGUCUCAAAGCNUUGCAAUCUUUGUCAGAAACUCUGGAAAUCUCUUUAAAACAGCAACCUUCAAAACAAACUCCUCAAAUUAAAUCUCCUUUGAUUGCACAACAGAAGUUACAGUCCGCCAUUAGCAGCGCGGCGACUUCUGANCCACCCCGCAAAAAGACGUCAUUGCCGAGGCGAUCGUCACCGAUCUUGACCCGACGACCCGACAAUCUAAUGCGAUCAAAGUCGUAUUCGGGACUCGAUAAAGUCAACAUCACUUCACCUGAUAAAGUAAAAGCAUUUUUAACGCUUUCCGAUGGUAAUCCCACAGAAUCUAAAGACUCUGACGAUGAUUUAGACUCAAGCAGUUCAAUUAAAUCGCGAACACUUCCACGUAGUAACACCGAAUCGCGUGUUCCUUUAAANCCAGAUAAACANCACUAUAAAGAACUUGAAUACACAUCAAAACAAAAAAAUGAGAAACAGGUACUCGAAGUAUCGAGUAAAGGCUCGACUACGCCUCGUCUUCGUAAAAAAAGCAUGUCAUUAUCGGAUUUAUUGAGCAUCGGUCGAGAUCUCACGAGCGGCCGAAGUAAAAACAAUGACUCGAACAAUUCUUCGGAAGUAAGUCGGAAGGAUUCUCGGCACAAAUCGGACUCGACAGACGACCGAAGUGAACCCGUUCAGCGAAAGCAUUCAAGGUUCAGAUUAGGACGUAGUAAGAGUCGCAGUGAUCGGGAAAUGAAGGAUGGNAUUGCUUCAGGACCAAAUAUCGAUAAAAGGAAAGCAACAAAGCUGUUUUUGACGGAAUCCUUGAUGCUAGAAACUUCAGAGUACGUGUAAUCGAUCGUCCAAUAUCUGAUGCACAAACAUAAAGACGCAAAUGGUCUGUAUGACGUCUUCCUGUCAGCCAUGUGGGAGAAUCCAUGAUUUUUAGUAUUACUGCGCAUGAUCAGUUAGUGGUUGGCUUAUUACCAAAUAUGGGUUAAUUAUUGAUAUUUAUUAGGCAUCAUUUUAAAUGAUACGUAUGUAGUGUGUUUNACUGGUUUAUUGAUGUCAUCAUGAGUAUCAUCAUCAUCAUCAUCAUUAUCAUCAUCAUAAUUCCUGAAGGACUCGAAUUGUUAAUGACAAUAUACAAGUGUUAGAGUUAACUNACUAAAAUGAGUCCAUGUUGAAAAGCAAAAGUUUUGAUUCUAUAUACUGUAUAUUUUACUAUCUUUCUAAUGCAACAUAUGGCCACAAAGACGGGUUCCCUGUGUCGACGUGUACAUAUAAUUUGUUCAGCUCAUUUCUGUAUAUUCGCUCCCUUGUUUUCAUUGGUUGUUAAUAGAUCAUAGCUGUCUGCACAACUGUUUCUGAAGAAAACACAUAGAAUCUAGGCACAAAUUUUGUGAAAUCAAAUUUUAAUGGAUAAAUUACUAUAGUGAAUUAUUAUUUGUGUCUUCUUUUAGCGAAGCGCACUAGAAAGUGGUGCAAGGAAUUAUGGGUGAUUCACUCUGUAAAAGAAUCUCAAUUAAAUGAUAAUUCUUCUUAUUUCUAACAGCCCAUUCAGCAUUCCUUGCGCCACUAGCUAUUGUGCCACGCAUGUNAAAGACUUUUCCGAAAAGAGUUNAGAUCUGUUCAGGGCAAAGUGGUCGGUGUUCUAGGUGUCCGUAUUAGCAAGGUUAUAGUGUGAUUAAGCGUGGUUUUAGAACAAUUGUAUUAUUUAUUAAAUAAUUUUAAAUAGCUAAGGUGAAGUUUGUUGUAAACGUUGUACUUCUAGGAAUGGGACUGAGUACUAUACACGGAACAUUGUUCAAAGUUGAAUGGGGAACGAGAUGUACAAAUUGUGUUAAAUUAAUGCUAAAAAAAAUGUCUAAAAAAGAUGUUUUUGCAUAAUAAUGUAUAAUCAAAUUCUUCACGAAAGUAUAUUAACGAGGUGUUUCGUUAAAUGAUCGAAGUUGAUUCGGAAAACCGAAUCUUCUUCGAAANUAUCACGAAAUGUUUCGUUAAUUUUCCGGAGUUUAUAAGGGGCGAUCUUAGAAUUUUGAGGGACAGGGAAGAUAUUUUGUUUUACUUCAGUAACGCGCUUGUGUUUUUUGUUUUGUUUUGUUUUUUUGUAAAUUUACAAAAGCUUUAUAUUAGUGCAGAUUUUUUUAUUCAAAAUCUAACAACCCCUCCCACCCCCCAUCUAAUGGAUCGGCCCUCAGUAAAACUGAUAUAGCUAUUUCAAAAAAAAGUUGUCGGUUAAUCAAAGCACUGUAACCAUAGUCCUUUUCGGUCGUACAAUGUCCCUUCGACAAUAAUCGCUGUUCGUCGUUCUCCCCGACAACGUUUUUUGAAAUAGCUGUAUAUCCCCGAGUUUAUUUCGAGAUAUUUCGUUAACUGUUCGAUAUUGCAUGAUAGAUUUGUGUGUGAUAUUUGUAAAUAAGGAGGCAGCUCGUGUGUCAAUAGUUGUAUUUAUAUCGAUUUAAU